UGGUGCACCUUUGCAUCAUUUGAAUUUAAAAAAUAAUAGCAACACGCUACAGCCAAAUUGCCAAACCCCAAACACAGAAGGUUUCCAUCACAAAUUCACAAUAGCAUAAAUUAAUAAAAGGACGUUGGAGUCAAAACGGUGGCAUAGCAAGACUACUAUGCAGCAGCAACACCACUCGAGUCUGGUCCAUCACAAAAGCAUAAAGUAGCAACACUAGCAGUCUAGUACGCAGCAGCAAACACCAACAAGUCUGGUGCACCUUUCAGUUUGCAUAAUUUAAUAAAUUUUAAAGAUAGUAGCAACACGCUACAGACAGUAGUGAAUGAACAUUCCAGGAGCCCUUCCACCUUGCUGCGUAUGAUGCCUUCAUGAACUUGCAGAGUUUUCCUACAUGCAAAUUUUGAAACAAAGAAAGUAAACUUUCAGGUUUCUCUUACAGUAGUGUAGUAGACCUUAAAUAGGAGAAGGUUUAAUAGACAAAAUGGGCAUUGCAAUAUAAAUAGUACAAGAGAAAGAAAACAAAGUUGCAAAAUAAAAAUUACAAGUCUCGGCCAGUAGCCAAGCACCAACCUGCUAGUUGCUUUCCACAAUAGAUUCAGGAAAUGGAAUGAACUCAACAUCAUCAUCAAUGUCAUCUUCCUACAAAGGGAAAUGUAGUUUCAGUUAGGCAGUCCAUUUAGAAGUAGUAUGUCAAAGCUUAUAAGUAGUAGACAACAAAGAGCAACUAAUAUUACCACUAUAGUUGUAGGCCUAAUGUGGUUUUCUUUUGAUCCUUUGAUGAAGCUAGAAGCACAAACAAGUGCCUCAACCAUGCUUGGGAGUAGAGAACUACGGUAGUCAUUGAGAACUCUACCUCCUGUAGAGAAUGUUGACUCUGAUGAAAAACUAGUAGCUGGUAUAGUCAAGAACUUCUUUGCCAUUUUUGCCACAAUAGGAUAUCUAUGAGCAUUCAACCUCCACCAGUCAAGUAAUGUGAAACUUGGAUCAUUAAUGGGAUGAGUCUUGUCUUCAAGAUAAGUAGUCAAUUCAGAUUUGCAUGGCUCCGAAUUUGUCUCCUCGAGAAAGGAUUGAAACCCACUCGACAAUGUGGUCAUAGAUGUAGAUGCUUGCCUACUUGAAAUUGAACUCUGCUCAUUGGUGUUAGAAGCCUCAUGCUAACGGUUUUCCAUCUCAUAUGUGGCAUAUAGAUCAAGGAACUCUGUUUUGAUAUCUUCCAUCUCACUACUACCCCCCUCUUUACCAUACAUUUUCUUAAAACAAUAGUCCACAAGUUUCAUCUUAAAUCUCGGAUCAAGAAUGGUGGCAAUCACCAUAACAUUGUUCUUUACCUUUUUUUUAUCUUUCCGAUUUUUGUUUUCUGGCACAACAGUGCUAUCCCAAUAUUUAUCAAACUUAUUAAGCAUGGCUUCCCCCAUCAUUUUCAAAUUUUCAUCUCCGGACAUAGCAUGCUCUACUAUAGCAAUCUUAACAUUCAUGAUGUAUGGAUAAAAAAUGUUGGUAGUGGGGUAAGUAGAUCCUGAUAGUAUAGUAGUUACCUCAGCAAAUGAUUUCAAGAUGGGUUGAAUUCUGCCAUAUAGUACCCAAUCUUCAUCAUCG
rnacentral:lncRNA from 1 species